GGGCGGCCCCAGCCUUAGGCGACCUAGGCGGUCGCCCAAGGCCCUGGCUCGAGAGAAGGCCCCCGCGCGAUGGCAUCCUAGGCUCUAGCCUCCCAGCUCCCGCAGCCCCGCUCGGCCGCCUCCCAGCUCCCGCUCGGCCGCUCCUAGCUACUAGCUAGCUACAGUGUCAGAGUCUUAGAGGGUAAGGCCGCAGGAGCCAACGGCUACCUCGACAAGACGCGGGUGCUCCACUGUCCACUCCUCCUCUCUGGCUCUCUUUAAAAUCCUCAUCCUGCUCCACUCCUCCUCCACUCCUCAAUCCUCUUCUGCUCUGAGUCUCUGACAGCUCUGUUCGACUGUUCCGUGAAGCCGUGAAGGUGUGACUGCCUGCCGCCUGGCCCUGGGUCGUCUACUCGUCUCCUCCUCGCCUCCCCCCGCGCGGCCGCGCCUCCGCCAGUCCGCCUCCCCGCCUCCUUGGGCCCCGGCAUCCCGCGACCGUCCCCGCGACCCCGGCGCCCCGCCUCCCCGGCAUCCAGGCGGUCCCGCCGCCCGCGACCUCCUCGCCUCCCUCCCGCCUCUCGGGCCCCCGGCUCCCGUGAGGCCGUGACCCCGUCAGCCCGUCCGGCUCAAUCCAGCGAGCCGGCGAGGUCGUCUCCUCCGCCUGAGCGCCUCCCAGUCCCCGGACGGCCGGACCCCGCCUGUGACACCGUCAGGCCGUCAGUCCGUCACUCCCGUGGCCGUGAGCCGUGAGCCCGUGACCUCCUCCGCUCCUCGCCCGACCCCGGCCCCGGCUCCCGUGAGGCGUGACUCGUGAGGCCGUGACGGCAGACGGCGUGACCUCCUCGGCCCUCGCCUCCCUCCCCGGCCCCGGCUCCCGUUGUCCCGUGACCCCGGCGGGCCCGGCCGUCCCCUCAGCCCUGAGUCCUCACGUCCGUGUCACGGUGUCAGUUGUCACUGAGA
rnacentral:lncRNA from 1 species